UGGCUAAUUGCCGCAGCAGCUGCCAGUGUUUAUGAAAUGCCGGGCGCUUCUGCGGUUCUCUCAGAGGAGAACGAGCUCUCAUCCUCCUUCUGAUGUGGUGGAGAGAGCCAGGUGAGCGGCGAGCAGGAACAGAGUGGAAGCUGCAGAAAUAAUUACCACCACCGAGGGCUUCUCUUUCUCUUAUCUUGGGCUCUUGCUCCCCAAGGCAGACAGAACCUUGAGGAUGACACCAAGCAUGUGGUGGGACUCGGCGAUAUGGAAGGAGUCCAGGAUACAGAUCUGAUGCCAGCUUUUAUCUAAAUGAUCUCACACUUGUCUGUGCCAGGUGUUUUGGGUUGGGAGUAUGUGAAAUAAGGCAUGCAUUUUGAGUCACCACCGAGGCUGUUGUCAAGUGAAGCUACUGGCUCCCAUAGCAGAUGGGUUUUACAAAGUAAACUUUAGGAACGUCGUUCUGCAUGGCUGCAGCUCCUUUUGGAUGGUGCUUGGAUACCAUCAUGCAUACCUCUUCUCAAAGCAGAACAUGAUAUAAUGACCUGACACCUGUUUUGACAUUGUCAUUCUUUUGGCAUUACAAAAUUUCCUUUACAUUGCGUCACUGACAAAGUGAGCACAGGGUGGCAGCUGCUCCCUGCAGUGUUUUCCUGCUCGGGUCAGUCUCUCCUGGGGAAGCAAUGACAGAAACUAGGCCAGAUGGUGCGGGAGAGAGAGAGAGAGACAGAGCGGGCCGCUCUCAACCUGACCAACUGCACCACAUUCAAGGCUUUGAUCUAAAAUUGGCCUCUGUAGAAGACUUGUGUACAGUCAUUUUCAUAUGGGCUUUGAACAUAUUGAAAGGGCUCAUAGCUGCCGUCGCUUUUAUCCUCUGAUUCCUUUU
ensembl:lncRNA